rnacentral:misc_RNA from 1 species
GUAGGUGAACCUGCGGAAGGAUCAUUAACACGUAUCCAACGUUAAACCCCCUGUGCACCUUCAGAGAGCUCUUGCGCGCCCGUGAUGGCAGCAAUCCUGGUAAAUCAGUGGCGAAAGUAGUCUUUGAUUCAGGACCUCUGUCAUCAUGAGAAAAAUUAUAGCGGGCAAUCGAGCCUUUUAUCGUCAGUCUGGAGUCCUGGCCGGGCGAAUGAAAGUGUCGCUGGACGGUUUCUAGGGUAAGGCUUCGCCA